AUGGACGCCAAGGUGUACGUCGGCGGUCUGCCGAGUGAUGCAACAUCACAAGAACUCGAAGAGAUUUUUGAUCGAUUUGGAAGGAUCCGUAAGGUUUGGGUAGCUCGUCGCCCUCCUGGAUUUGCGUUCGUGGAAUACGACGACGUUCGUGACGCUGAAGAUGCUGUCCGCGCUCUUGACGGAUCAAGAAUCUGUGGUGUCCGUGCUCGUGUUGAACUUUCAACUGGACAAAGACGUGGCGGUGGCGGUCGUGGUGGAGGUUUCGGCGGCCGAGGUGGUGGCGGAAGAGACAGCGGACUCCGCUCGUCCGCGUCCCCAUCUGCCAUCCCAAACAUCACUAUCUUCCACUCCUCUCCGUCUUCUGUCUUCACGACACAUUCUUCUCUUCCACAUCGCUACGCGCCCUUUACUUCUCCCAAAAUCAUCGCACCAGAAUUGUUUUUGACUCUUUUCAUCAGUUAAUUCUCCGCAGUAGUUCCUGAAUCGAGCUUCUGACAAAAUCGUCUCAUCAUGCCUUCGUCGGCUGAAUCUUCCCAUUCAAUCGCCAUACCGAGGAGACCGUGGACGUUCCCGUUCACGCUCUCGUGAUCGUGGACGUGAUCGCAGCCGCGACAGAAGCCGUGAUCGCAGUCGUGACCGAAGCAGAGAUCGCAGUCGUGAACGCAGUCGCGAAAGAGAACGUACUCGUUCAAGAUCUCGAUCUCCUCAAGAACGUGAUCGUUCUCACUCGAAGAGUCGCUCCCGCUCUCGAAGCCGUUCUCGCAGCCGUUCUGCUUCUCCGCACUAA
rnacentral:misc_RNA from 1 species